rnacentral:rRNA from 1 species
GAAUCAAUUUAAUUUGAAUUUAAAAAUUUAUUAUUUAUUUAAAUUUAAAUUAAUUUUAUUAUAAAUAUAUUUAUUUUUUUUAUUGUUAAAGAUAAAAUUAUUAUUAAUGAUAGUUAAUUAGUAUAGAGAUAGAAUAUUAAAAUAGAUGAAAAAUUAAAUAUUAAAAAGAAAAUUUUAUUUAUUGUACCUUGUGUAUCAGGGUUUAUUAAAUAAAAAUUAUAUAUUUUAAUUUUCUCGAAUUUAAAAGAGCUAAAAAAUUAUAGAUUUUAUUGUAAAAUAAAUAUUUAAAAUAAUUUUUUAGAAAUGAAACGUUAGCCGUUUUUAAAUUUAUCUAGUUUUUUAAGAAAUAAAUUUAAUUUAGUUAAUUAUUGAUUAAUUAAUAUUAUUUUUUAUUUAAAUUAAAAUAAUUAAUUAAUAUUUUAAGGGAUAAGCUUUAAAAUAAAGAAUUGAUAAAUAUUUUUAUAUUAAUUUAAAAUUUAUAGAAGUGAAAGUAUUAAUUUAUUAUAGUGUUUUAUAACAAAUUUUAAUUUUUUUAUAAUUUUUAUAUUAUUUUCAAUUUUUUAUUAAAAUAAAUUAAUUUAAUAAUAAAAUUAAUGUAAUAAUGAUAAAAUUAGUAUAAAUUAAAUUGUAAAAUUAAAUUUUUAAUAGUAGAUUAGAUUAAGGAAUUCGGCAAUUUUUAUUUCUGCCUGUUUAUUAAAAACAUGUCUUUUUGUUAAUAAUUUAAAGUCUGACCUGCUCUAUGAUUAAGUAUUAAAUGGCCGCGAUAUUUUGAUCGUGCAAAGGUAGCAUAAUCAUUAGUUUCUUAAUUAGGAACUGGUAUGAAAGGUUGGACAAGAAAAAUACUGUCUCAAUUUAAUUUAAUUAGAAUUUUAUUUUUAAGUCAAAAAGCUUAAAUAAUUUUAAAAGACGAGAAGACCCUAUAGAGUUUUAUAUUAAUAAUUUUAAAAUAAAGUUAAGAAUUAAAUUUUUUUUAUUAAUAAUUAAUAUUUAGUUGGGGUGACUAAAAAAUUGAAUAAACUUUUAUUUUAUAAUAUUCAUUGAUUUAUGAUUAAUUGAUCCAUACUUUAUGAUUAUAAGAUUAAAUUACCUUAGGGAUAACAGCGUAAUUUUUUUUAAGAGUUCUUAUCGAAAAAAAAGUUUGCGACCUCGAUGUUGGAUUAAAAUUUACUUUUGGUGUAGGUGCUAAAAAAGUUAGGUCUGUUCGACCUUUAAAAUUUUACAUGAUCUGAGUUUAAACCGGUGUAAGCCAGGUUGGUUUCUAUCUUUAAUAUAGUUAAUAUAUUUUAGUACGAAAGGAUUAAAUAUAUUUAAUAAUUAAUAUUUUAAGAUUAAUAUUAAAAUAUUACUUUGGCAGAAUAGUGUUUU